GUGAAGGGACUUUGCUGGUAUAAUUAAAGUCCCUGAUGAGUUAACUUCAUGCUGGUCAAAGGGGAGAUUACCCUGGGCAGGCCUGACUUUAGCAGUUGCAAGGCCUUUAAGGAAAGAGGGGUUAGUCUUUCUCCUGGGAGCUUAGAGAUUGACAACAGCUGCUGUGUCUGCAAUCUCUCCUUUCCCUUGGGUCCUUCUUUCUGGCAACCACCAGGGGUGGGUGCCCAGCUUCAGCUCUAGGGGUUCCAGCCUGCCCACUCCCUUCCUGACCACUUCCCUGGGGACUUCACACUUACUUAGCCAGCUCCCACAACAGGAGAUUCCGUCUGAAAGUUCAGGGCUGUCAGCAGAAAUGUGUCAUUGCGGCAGCGGCAGCUCCAUCCAAGAAAAUACCAAUAAGCACAUUAAACAAAAGAGGAGUUAAGAGAAAAUAAGACAGAUUUCCCAGAUCUGGGCCAUUUCAUUGCAAAUCCACUUUAAUAUCUUUCAGGUUACACUUGACUUGUGCAUAUAAAGCAUGUGGAAACAAGAACUGAAAUCUAAUAACUCCAAGAGCAAGAAUGAAAUGUGACGAUGUUUUCAGGAUUGAAAAUGGGGAAGGAAAUCAAUUGCUUGUUCUGCGGAGUUAAGAGAAUAAAUUGGGUAACCAAGACUUUCAUUUAGUCAGGAAGACCCAUUCUUUUGUUAAGCAAAGAAAUGGCUUUGUUUAUCAAUUACCUAUGAAGGAUCAAAGAGUGAGAUCAGGAAGAGAUGAACGCAUUUAGGGGCCUGGCUCCCAGGCUGCACAAGAAAGUGUCGGGUAGUUCCAAGCAAGCUGUUUAACCUUUCAACGACUCAAAUUAGCCAUCCUUUGAAAUGGCAAGCUUAUUAUCGUCAUCAAAUGCAUUUACUGAGUGUCCAACUUUGCACGGUGCUGGGGCAUGAAAAAGAAAGAAAAAAGGAGGCUGCAGUGUGAUGCAGUGGGGAUCCAUGAUCUGAUCCACUCAGGGCUCUCCCUGUGGCUAUGAGGAAGCCACUUCUCUGAACCACAGUGUCCUGAGCUCUCAAGAAGGAGGAAAAGGCUUGAAUGCCAGUUGCUCUGCAUCACGGCUGUCGAACAGCUGUCAUCAGCGGACAUUCCGAAGGCAUACAUCUAUUUCUCCCGCCCUUACUUUGAGUUCCACUUUGCACUAUUCUGCUGUUAAUUAUUCCCCUCUAUUCUCUUGUCUAAUUUUGUGUGUCAUUAAAAUAGUUCCAGCUACAUUUUCCUCUUGCUGUUUCUUCGGCUGUAACACCUGUAAUGUGGGGAGACCUGAGUUGAGCCCGUUCGGUCCAAGGAGAACUCAGGUCUCUCACCUCCUGCUCCACUUCACCUGCUCUGUCUAGGGCAGGUGGCGUGUCCCCUCAUACCAGCAGCCCUGCGGUGACACUCUCCCCAUCUGUCUGCUUAUCACCUGACAGCCUGGCCGCCUCAUCGCUCUCCUGUCUGUACAGUUCUAUCGAUCAGACACUCGGUAACCUUGACAGUGUCACUUGAUGUCUUUGCCAUCGAGAGAGCAUCCUCUGGCUCCUGCAAGCUGGCUC
ensembl:lncRNA